UACAGAGGUCUCAAGCGUUGUUCGGAUUCAUUGGGCGUAAAGGGUGCGUAGGCGGCGCGGUAAGUCGGGUGUGAAAUCUCGGGGCUUAACUCCGAAACUGCAUUCGAUACUGCCGUGCUUGAGGACUGGAGAGGAGACUGGAAUUUACGGUGUAGCGGUGAAAUGCGUAGAUAUCGAGAGGAACACCAGUGGCGAAGGCGAGUCCCUGGACAACACCUGACACUGAGGCACGAAAGCUAGGGGAGCAAACAGG
rnacentral:rRNA from 1 species